UACGUAGGGGGCGAGCGUUGUCCGGAGUUACUGGGCGUAAAGGGCGUGCAGGCGGUGCGGUAAGUUUAGCGUGACAGUCUCCGGCUUAACUGGAGAAGGCCGCUGAAAACUGCUGGACUUGAGGGCCAGAGAGGGACAUAGAAUUCCGGGUGGAGUGGUGAAAUGCGUAGAUAUCCGGAGGAAUACCGAAGGCGAAGGCAGUGUCCUGGCUGGCAACUGACGCUGAGGCGCGAAAGCGUGGGGAGCAAACAGG
rnacentral:rRNA from 1 species